rnacentral:rRNA from 1 species
UACGGGGGGGGCAAGCGUUGUUCGGAAUUACUGGGCGUAAAGGGCUCGUAGGCGGCCAACUAAGUCAGACGUGAAAUCCCUCGGCUUAACCGGGGAACUGCAUCUGAUACUGGAUGGCUUGAGUGCGAAAGAGGGUCGCGGAAUUCCCGGUGUAGAGGUGAAAUUCGUAGAUAUCGGGAGGAACACCGGUGGCGAAGGCGGCGACCUGGGUCGACACUGACGCUGAGGCGCGAAAGCGUGGGGAGCAAACAGG